GACGAACGCUGGCGGCGUGCCUAAUACAUGCAAGUAGAACGCUGAAGGAGGAGCUUGCUCUUCUGGAUGAGUUGCGAACGGGUGAGUAACGCGUAGGUAACCUGCCUGGUAGCGGGGGAUAACUAUUGGAAACGAUAGCUAAUACCGCAUAAGAGUAGAUGUUGCAUGACAUUUACUUAAAAGGUGCAAUUGCAUCACUACCAGAUGGACCUGCGUUGUAGUAGCUAGUUGGUGGGGUAACGGCUUACCAAGGCGACGAUACAUAGCCGACCUGAGAGGGGUAUCGGCCACACUGGGACUUAGACACGGCCCAGACCUCCACGGGAGGCAGCAGUAGGGAAUCUUCGGCAAUGGACGGAAGUCUGAACGAGCAACGCCGCGUGAGGGAAGAAGGGUUUCGGAUCGUAAAGCUCUGUUGUAAGAGAAGAACGAGUGUGAGAGUGGAAAGUUCACACUGUGACGGUAUCUUACCAGAAAGGGACGGCUAACUACGUG
rnacentral:rRNA from 1 species